GAUGAACGCUAGCGGCAGGCUUAACACAUGCAAGUCGAGGGGUAACAGGAAUAGCUUGCUAUUUGCUGACGACCGGCGCACGGGUGCGUAACUCGUAUGCAACCUACCUUUUACUGGAGAAUAGCCUUUAGAAAUGAAGAUUAAUACUCCAUAAUAAUGAUAACUCACAUGAGUUGUUGUUUAAAGUUUCGGCGGUAAAAGAUGGGCAUGCGUUUUAUUAGUUAGUUGGUAAGGUAACGGCUUACCAAGACUACGAUAAAUAGGGGUCCUGAGAGGGAGAUCCCCCACACUGGUACUGAGACACGGACCAGACUCCUACGGGAGGCAGCAGUGAGGAAUAUUGGACAAUGGAGGCAACUCUGAUCCAGCCAUGCCGCGUGCAGGAAGACGGCCCUAUGGGUUGUAAACUGCUUUUAUACAGGAAGAAACCUCCCCACGUGUGGGGAGCUGACGGUACUGUAAGAAUGAGCACCGGCUAACUCCGUGCCAGCAGCCGCGGUAAUACGGAGGGUGCAAGCGUUAUCCGGAAUCAUUGGGUUUAAAGGGUCCGUAGGCGGACUAUUAAGUCAGAGGUGAAAUCCCACAGCUCAACUGUGGAACUGCCUUUGAUACUGGUAGUCUUGAGUUAUAUGGAAGUAGAUAGAAUGUGUAGUGUAGCGGUGAAAUGCAUAGAUAUUACACAGAAUACCGAUUGCGAAGGCAGUCUACUACGUAUAUACUGACGCUAAGGGACGAAAGCGUGGGGAGCGGACAGGAUUAGAUACCCUGGUAGUCCACGCCGUAAACGAUGGAUACUAGUUGUUGGAUUUAUUCAGUGACUAAGCGAAAGUGAUAAGUAUCCCACCUGGGGAGUACGGUCGCAAGACUGAAACUCAAAGGAAUUGACGG
rnacentral:rRNA from 1 species